CUUGCAUUUCCAUGAUGUUUACAUACUUAUCUACACUAGUGCCUUAGUAGAUGUAAAUAUAACAGUCUGUCUCAAGGACAAUAGACUGGAUUGCCAUAAAUCUACUUCAUGUAAACCCAGAACAAGGGUGGUCUUGAUACAAUAAGUCAGAGAACUGCCCAUAAGCUAUCUCCACCGACUCUAUAACCUUCACUGAACAGUUUGGC